rnacentral:rRNA from 1 species
GAUGAACGCUAGCGGCAGGCUUAAUACAUGCAAGUCGAGGGACAGCACAGGUAGCAAUACUGGGUGGUAACCGGCAAACGGGUGCGGAACACGUACACAACCUUCCUUUAAGUGGGGGAUAGCCCAGAGAAAUUUGGAUUAAUACCCCGUAAUAUAGUUGAAUGGCAUCAUUUGAUUAUUAUAGCUACGGCGCUUAAUGAUGGGUGUGCGGCUGAUUAGAUAGUUGGCGGGGUAACGGCCCACCAAGUCUACGAUCAGUAGCUGAUGUGAGAGCAUGAUCAGCAACACGGGCACUGAGACACGGGCCCGACUCCUACGGGAGGCAGCAGUAAGGAAUAUUGGUCAAUGGACGCAAGUCUGAACCAGCCAUGCCGCGUGAAGGAUUAAGGACCUCUGGAUUGUAAACUUCUUUUAUUUGGGACGAAAAAGGGCCUUUCUAGGUCAACUGACGGUACCAGAUGAAUAAGCACCGGCUAACUCCGUGCCAGCAGCCGCAGUAACAC